UGCAAGAUGAACAUCAACAUCAAAAUCGACAUUACGACAUUAAGAAAAUAAUAACACGUCGAUAGAGAUCUUUUAAAUAAAACAAAGAAUCUAUGUGACAUAUUAGCAUUUAAAUCUCAUUGAGCAAAAACGACACUAAAUUAGCAUUCUAACCCUUUCCAUGAACAUGGUUGAGUCAAACAAUGAACUCAACCAUCAACAACAGGAAGGUGGGACCUCCACAACACAAUAUACACUGACAGAGAAGUAAAUGGCGGACUAACAACCUUAAUACGAAAUGAGGAACUCCUGACAGACGAGAAUAACUACGGGAUCAACCAUGGAACCGAUUUUCAUGUC
rnacentral:lncRNA from 1 species